CUGGAAACUUGAUGACACGUCCCAGCCUCAGUAGGCCCUAUUGCACGACACUGGUAAUACCUGUUCAGUUAGUUACUACGGGAAAGAUGCACAGAGUUCCUGAGUUUGAGGAGCUGGGUUUCCUGGGAGAGGCCCCUGUGGAAACGUUGUAGCAGAACUGACAUGUACUAUGGAAGAGUUAUUAAUACAAUCACUGUGCUGUGACGGUCAGGUGAUGGCAAGCAGAAGACUCUGCUCAGGCAGCAAGAAGAAUCAAUGGCAUUUGGUGACAAUAGAGGCCAUGGAGACGACGCAAGCGUGGAAGAGGAAAAGGAAGGAGCUCAAUGCGGAGCAGGAAAAUGAUCCAUUCACCACACCGAGGUCUUGAAUCAAGCUUGGACUCCAGUUUGGAGUCAGCCAACAGAAGGACACCGAGUGACUGAGGAUUACUGAAUAUACAAAAAUAAUACACAGAUCAAAGUCCAGAAGCUUCUCGGAUGAAGAUCCAAUGGAUUGUUAACUGUAACCUCACCAGAAUGCAUGUCCAUGGGAAACAAAACAGAAGCAGGGGGGAAAGGCGUAUUUUUAAGAGAUGGUGUAAAAAUAAUCACUGCUCUGGCAUUCCGUAGUGUUAUCUCAGUAGCUUACUGUUCUGUGCUAUUGUCCACCACGACCCACCGUGAUGUAUGAGACUUCAUGGGCGAUUUGCUGGCCAAAUCGUUCAAAGCUGGGUACCAACCUUACUCGAAGCCUCAGUUUGUCACCUAUAAAACAGAGACUCCGAGAGUACAUGCUGCGUAGAGUUUGUCUUGAGAAGCAAAUCCAGGUAAUGAUACAGGAUGCAUUGUGUCAGUAUUGAACUGAGACCUAUCUCUCCCUGAUCACAACUUCUCAUAUGCAGGUGAAAAGUUUUCCAGCUUGCUUCUAAACCAAUAAAAAUCCCCAUGGCCCUACUUUCUAAGUAUUUAUU